GUAGGUGGUUUAAUAAGCGAAUAGUGAAAUCUGGUGGCUCAACCAUUCAGACUAUUAUUCGAACUGUUGAACUCGAGAGCAGAAGAGGUAGCUGGAAUUUCUAGUGUAGGAGUGAAAUCCGUAGAUAUUAGAAGGAACACCGAUGGCGUAGGCAGGCUACUGGGCUGUUUCUGACACUGAGGCACGAAAGCGUGGGGAGCCGAACCGGAUUAGAUACCCGGGUAGUCCACGCCGUAAACGAUGGAUACUAGCUGUUGGAGGUAUCGACCCCUUCAGUAGCGAAGCUAACGCGUUAAGUAUCCCGCCUGUGGAGUACGGCCGCAAGGCUAAAACAUAAAGGAAUUGACGGGGACCCGCACAAGCGGUGGAUUAUGUUCUUUAAUUCGAUGAUAACCGAUAAACCUUACCAGGUCUUGACAUCCUUGGAAUCUUUCAGAAAUGAGAGAGUGCUUUUUAAGAGCCAAGUGACAGGUGAUGCAUGGCCGUCGUCAGCUCGUGUCGUGAGAUGUUUGGUUAAGUCCAUCAACGAGCGCAACCCUUGUCAGUAGUUGUAUUUUUCUACUGAGACUGCCCCGGUAACGGGGAGGAAGGAGGGGAUGACGUCAGGUCAGUAUUUCCCUUACGUCCUGGGCUAGAAACGUGAUACAAUGGCUAGUACAAUGCGCAGCGAAGCCGCGAGGUGA
rnacentral:rRNA from 1 species